rnacentral:sRNA from 1 species
UAAGUGAUUCCAAACUUUUGCUCGCGUGU